rnacentral:rRNA from 1 species
AGAGUUUGAUCAUGGCUCAGGAUCAACGCUGGCGGCGUGCCUAACACAUGCAAGUCGAACGCCCUCUGGCAACAGAGGGAGUGGCGGACGGGUGAGGAACACGUGGGUAUCUGCCUUGGGGUGAGGAAUACCGGCGAGAAAUCGCCGACAAUGCCGCAUAGGUUUCGCAAGAAACAAAGUCGCAAGACGCCCGAAGAUGAGCCUGCGUCCGAUUAGCUAGCUGGUGGGGUAAAAGCCUACCAGGGCGACGAUCGGUAGCUGGUCUGAGAGGACGAUCAGCCACACUGGGAUUGAGAACGGCCCAGACUCCUACGGGGGGCAGCAGUGAGGAAUUUUCGUCAAUGGGCGCAAGCCUGAACGAGCAACGCCGCGUGCAGGAAGACGGUUUUCGGAUCGUAAACUGCUUUUCUGUGGGAAGAGAGAGGACGGUACCACAGGAAGAAGCCCCGGCUAACUACGUGCCAGCAGCCGCGGUAAGACGUAGGGGGCGAGCGUUGUCCGGAGUUACUGGGCGUAAAGGGCGUGCAGGCGGUGCAGCAAGUUUGGAGUGACAGUUCCCGGCUUAACUGGGGAAGGCCUCUGAAAACUGCUGGACUUGAGGGCCAGAGAGGGACAUAGAAUUCCGGGUGGAGUGGUGAAAUGCGUAGAUAUCCGGAGGAAUACCAAAGGCGAAGGCAGUGUCCUGGCUGGCAACUGACGCUGAGGCGCGAAAGCUAGGGGAGCGAACAGGAUUAGAUACCCCCGUAGUCC